UCUAUCUCCCUCUCUGUCUUCACAAAUUCAACUCACAAAAUCCCCAAUUCUUCUAAAAUCCCUAACUUCUUUCCGACAAAAUCACUCCAUCCUGACAGUGACUCCGCUCGACGCCUUGCAUCGCCGGCAGCCUCUCUUCGUCGGAUCGGAAAUGGCGAGCUGUUGCUGCCGUUUUCUCGAAAUGCGAAAACGCCUCAGGCGCUGCUCGCGCCGUCCUGCUUCUGGCCGGGCAGCGGUGCUGCCUUGCCGUUGCUGCUCACACCUCCGUCGUCACCCCCGCGCCCAGCCGUCGCGGUUACUGCGCAGUCGGAAGAAGAGGGGAGGCAUCUCUCGGCGACUGCUCCAUCGCCCUCCUUCCUAAGCUAAGCUUUCUACCUUAUUCCAUUCGAAUUUUGUGAUCAGAAAUUCUUAGAUUUUUAGGGGAGUUGAGUAUGGGCAAAUUCGACCACUGCCCUUUAUGCCUAAAUUUGAAUUUGCAUUUUUACCAAUUGUGCGGGGGUUAACAGAGUUUGAAAUGAGAAUUUGUAUACACAAGAUGGUUUCUGUUCUUAAAUUAAGGGCUCCCCUGUUAUGUCUUGCUUACUUUAGUGGUGAGGAAUUCUAGCAUGUGUGUCUGUGUUGCAGAGUGUAAAGAAAAGAAAUUUUCCUCAUCCUAACAUGAGAAUUCGAAAGGGGCAGGGGUUGUUUGCAACAGUUAGAGUUUUCUCCAUCUAUUUCCUCACAUGCCCUCUUAGUACUUUAGUUCAUAAUUUUCUUUGUUUGCAAGCUGCAGGAGCUCGUAGGGGAGGCAAGGCCGUUGGGUGGGAGCUACUGCAGGGCUGACUUGCCUUCUAUGACAUGAAAUUUUGGUUGGAGAAAGGUGGAGGUGUAUAUUACCUCUUGAAGCAGUUGCUGCUCUCUCCCUCUGAUCCUAAGACUUGCAGCCCGUUUACUUGUGUUUCUGGCCCUUUCUGUUAAGAUAGUGAAGGAGUGAGUUUGGGUUUAGCAUAACAAAAUCUUGAGGAAAGGAAGGAAGAAGGUGUGUUACCUAAGGAGAGUAAACAAUGCCUGCAGAGUGCAGGGACUCUUCUCCUAGCUCACUCACUCUCCACUUUCUAUGUUGCUGGGAAAUCUUAAGCUGCAGGAGCUCGUAGGGGAGGCAAGGCCGUUGGGUGGGAGCUGCUGCAGGGCUAACUUGCUUUCUAUGAUGAAUCCUUGGUGAGAGAAAAGCUUGGCUGCCUUGCUGCUGUCCUCGACGGGUUUGCUGCCUAGGGCCCUUGGGCUCGCUGCCCCGGGCCGAACGAGCUAAUCGGUUGUGGUCGCGAUGGAGGGGUGCGACUUGGGCUCGAGGAGAAAGAGGUCCAAAGUGUAGCAAAAGAAAAGAUUUUUGUUUCUUAGCUUGUUUUUUGGCCCAUUCAUGACUAUUUGUAAAGUUUCCUAUAUUUUUACUUCUAUUCAUGUAAGAUGAUCAAAUAAAUUAAAGUAUUAUUCGAGAUGUAUGCAAA